ACUACAACAAAAUUACAUUUUAGCGGCGAUUAUUUUCUAAAUUAGCGGCAAUUACAAUUGCCGCUAAAAUGUUUUGUGGCAAUUUUAACAAUUGCCGCUAUUGGCAGGGUCGCUAAAAGUUUUAGCGGCAUUUAUUCCGGCGGUUGGUAAAAAUCCAAAUAAAUGCCGCUAAAUAUUAUACAAUAACGACUAUUAUAAAUGCCGCUAAAUAGUAUGCAANUGUAAUAAGUAUUUGGGAUGUAAAAAUGUAUGAAUAUGAAUGAAUGUAAUAAUAUAGGAUGUGUUUAUGUUGUUUGAUACCUUCCAUUAUGCAAUCUUGAUUGAAAUGUGUUCCUGGUUGGAACUUCGCAC
rnacentral:lncRNA from 1 species